UUAGAGUUUGAUCCUGGCUCAAGACGAACGCUGGCGGCGUGCUUAAUACAUGCAAGUCGAACGGAGUUAAGGGUUUCGGCCUUUAACUUAGUGGCGAACGGGUGAGUAACGCGUGAAUAACCUGACUCAAAGAGGGGGAUAACAACGGGAAACUGUUGCUAAUACCGCAUGAGACCACAACACCGCAUGAUGAAGGGGUCAAAGAUUUAUCGCUUUGAGAGGGGUUCGCGUCCCAUUAGGUAGUUGGAGGGGUAACGGCCCACCAAGCCAACGAUGGGUAGCCGAGCUGAGAGGCUGAUCGGCCACACUGGAACUGAGACACGGUCCAGACUCCUACGGGAGGCAGCAGUAGGGAAUAUUGGGCAAUGGGCGCAAGCCUGACCCAGCAACGCCGCGUGAGGGAAGAAGGUUUUCGGAUUGUAAACCUCUGUCCUAUGUGACGAAGGAAGUGACGGUAGCAUAGGAGGAAGCCCCGGCUAACUACGUGCCGGCAGCCGCGGUAAUACGUAGGGGGCGAGCGUUGUCCGGAAUUACUGGGCGUAAAGGGUGCGUAGGCGGUUUGGUAAGUUGGAUGUGAAAUACCCGGGCUUAACUUGGGGGCUGCAUCCAAUACUGUCGGACUUGAGUGCAGGAGAGGAAAGCGGAAUUCCUAGUGUAGCGGUGAAAUGCGUAGAUAUUAGGAGGAACACCGGUGGCGAAGGCGGCUUUCUGGACUGUAACUGACGCUGAGGCACGAAAGCGUGGGGAGCAAACAGGAUUAGAUACCCUGGUAGUCCACGCCGUAAAACGAUGAAUAUUAGGUGUAGGGGGGUAUAGACUCCCUCUGUGCCGCAGCAAACGCAAUAAGUAUUCCGCCUGGGGAGUACGGCCGCAAGGUUGAAACUCAAAGGAAUUGACGGGGGCCCGCACAAGCAGUGGAGUAUGUGGUUUAAUUCGAAGCAACGCGAAGAACCUUACCAGGUCUUGACAUCCUACUAACGAGAUAGAGAUAUGUUAGGUGCCCUUCGGGGAAAGUAGAGACAGGUGGUGCAUGGUUGUCGUCAGCUCGUGUCGUGAGAUGUUGGGUUAAGUCCCGCAACGAGCGCAACCCUUGCUAUUAGUUGCUACGCAAGAGCACUCUAAUAGGACUGCCGUUGACAAAACGGAGGAAGGUGGGGACGACGUCAAAUCAUCAUGCCCCUUAUGACCUGGGCUACACACGUACUACAAUGGACAUAAACAGAGGGAAGCAAAACAGCGAUGUGGAGCAAACCCCUAAAAAUGUUCUCAGUUCAGAUUGCAGGCUGCAACCCGCCUGUAUGAAGAUGGAAUUGCUAGUAAUCGCAGAUCAGCAUGCUGCGGUGAAUACGUUCCCGGGCCUUGUACA
rnacentral:rRNA from 1 species